UGAGGUCUACGUCUGCGUCGCCGCCGCCGUGAUGGUCGCCGUUGGGCGCGAGCUGCUGGCCGGCACGGCACACCCCCAUCCUACUGGACAGCGGAGACCCAAGGCUCGGCAGUCCGUUUGACAGCGAGAGGGCGCUCGAUCGGCCACGUCACGGCCGCAGCUUGCUGCUCUUCCGUUCUAAGAUAAACGGAAAUACAAGCAUCCAGACAUAUAAAAGAGGGGAGAAAGAGAGGAUACAGUUCCAACACCACUGGCCUAACUGCGGAGAGCUAGGAAGGAAGUCUAAGAUCAGCACAAACAUAAAACCAGGUGCAGCGAAAAGACUUCUUACAAGUUUUAAAUAUGUCUAUAUGAGGCAGAAGCUCUUGCAGUAUACAUAUAUGAUGCUAUGACUAUGAGGUCAGCUUUGACAUAUAUGUAACUUUCUAAGUUUGUGACAAAAAUUGUUGCCAAGUUUCUGUCAGUUUUUGCAGGCUACUUGCUUUGCACAUACACAUGCAUGGUUUCAGACCUCUGACCAUGUUAGAAGGCGGUGGUAUAAUUCCAGGAGAAGAGGACCAUUGAGUGCACAACUGCACAUUCCUGACUCUGCCCUCGGAUGCUCCAGCCAAGUGCAGAAGUGCUAGAACCAAAGCCGCUGCUCCUGCCUUGAGAGUUGAAGAGAAAAGUUGGGUCCUGAACUCCUGAUAGUCAUCAGUACAGAGGGAGCCUACAGCCUACAGCCUCUCCAUGCGCACAAUGCACUUCAGCUGUUCAGAACAUCAUUCUUUGCCGACAAGAGACAACUCUUUUUAAUGGGAGGAACAACUGAUGACAUCAGAGGUACACAUGGGUUGUGUUAGGCUACACAACUUGUGGAGAGAUCUUCGGUCGGUGUUGCAUGGAUGCCAGGACAUGAAGUUUUUGACAUGGGAUCCUUAGAGAUGACUAGGCAAGGAUAACAGUUGGCAACAUAGAGGUAGUUUACCCUGUUGUUAAACCAUUGAGUGCUACUGCCUAUCAUGUAAUAUUGAAGGGAACUCCGAAGUUUUGUAGCUCGGUCUCAAAAGCCUGUAUGAAAUGAAGUCAUGUACCCUGAGAGGGUGCAAAUAGUGUUGUAUGAAAACUCAGUUUCUAUUGCAUGGACAGUUACUGCAAAAAAAAAAAAAAUUGAACCAGAGUUACUGCAAGUCCUGUACUACUAUUACUGUAUCUUGGGUUUUCCAUAUACCUCCUAUGUAAAUGGUCCUUGUGUGUGAGCAGAAACUUCAUGGCCUCUUUUUCAUGUAUUCCUUUAAUGAUGAUUGCCUGUCUGAUUGCUAUGAUACAUUGAUGUCUGUCAAGUAUUUCGGCUCCAGAACUCUGAUCACCAUGAAAUUGUCACGAUCCAGGUUCCUUCUUGGGGGCAGCAUGAGAAUUUCUGUCUCUUUCAAUGUUUGUUAGUUCCUCAUUGCAAGUAAACAUGAUGAUCCUUCCAUUGAAUUUGCCAGUUCGUGUUUUAAUCUGAGAAGCAUGGUUCGGCAACUGGAAGGUAUAGUGGAUGUCAAUAUUCCUGCUCGUGAAAUUUGAAUGGAAAAUUUUAUAUAUAAAGAAGUAGAGAAAAAUUCCUUGGAACUGUGGCAAGCACAAGUAAACGAAACUGUUGAAUUUCAGCUUUCGGCACAACCAGGCGUGGGUUUUGGAAACUCUGAAGAUGCUCUCAUGCCAAGCACCACGAAUUGCACUGAAAAUUUUGUCAAAAAUUUGGCUGAUGAAGAACAGAAUUACGGAUGGAAGAUACUCACACGACUUGUACAUGUCACAUACAGUCCUCGAAAAGUGACCAACUUUUAAUAACAAUUCUAUGAAAUUGAAAGCAUAUCAACUCAUGUGAUACACGAAGAUCAGGCUACACCAGACAGCGACGUCGAGGAUGCCGACUGUUGGGGGUGGCGUCACAUCGGAGGACCCAUGGUCGGCUGCCGUCUGCGUGUCGAUCUCGUCCGUUAGGACUUAAUGGGACCCGUGACUUGGACCAAUCUGUUCUUGCGUCAAUGUAGAUGGAGACUCCUUAGGCAUAUCUCAUUCGGGUGACACUGAGCAGUGACAGUGAGCGCCGGCAUAGACUGUUCUGCAACUGAGACAGCUAAGCUGCACCCGUCAGAUCGGUUAAUGUGUUCACCUUCGGGUAUAUCAACCUGAUGAUCUUCAGACGAUUCAGUAACUGGCGCAGGAGUGUUUUCACGAAAACUCAUAUGCGUGUGCACUUAGAGAGACACAUGGCUCCCAGGAUUUGCUACUACUCCCUCCAUUCCAAAUUGUAAGUCAUUCCAAGAAUCUUGGAGAGUCAAUGCACAUCAAGUUUGACCAAAAUUUUAGAGAGAAUUAUAAAGAGUUUUUACAUCAAAUAGGUAUUACAUUGAAAAUAUAAUUGAUGAAGAAUCUAAUGAUACUUAAUUGACAUCUUAAAUGCUAUUAUCCUAUCAUAUAAAUUUGGUCAAACUUAAAAUGCUUUGACUCUUCAAGAUUCUUGGAAUGACUUAUAAUUUGGGAUGGAAGAA